AAUUAUGUCUUCUAUUUCUGUCAGCCUAGAAUGUCUUUCCUUCUGUUCAAGUACUACUCAUUCUUCAUAGCUGAAUUCCAGCCUCAAGCUCUCCAUAAAUAAUUUUCACAAUGACUUCAACUUGAAAAAUAUUUUCCAUUUGCAAUCUUCUUUAAACAAUCUUAGAAUUUAGGGUAAGAUAAUUUAUGGAAAUGUUUAUUUACAUUUUCUCUUCUCUUUCUUCAUCUUUUCUUUCCAUCUCUUCAAGUGAUUUAAUAAAGCUUGAGGCAAGAUGUUUUCUGGAUUAUGUUUCCAAAAGUCCAGAUGGUGAGCCUUCAAACUCUCCAGGCUGAGAGGACAAGGUGGUGUUGGUACUGGAAGAAAAGAGGACUUGCAAUGACUCCCUGGCAGGACCCAAGGACUUCAGGAUGGACACCGGUGCCUGAGGAGUUUCAAUCCUUACCCAGAGCUCUGAGCCAAAGAUACCUGUGUCUCAAAUAUGGCAGAAACAUAACAACGAAGCCUUGAAGUGACUAUACCAGCAACCCAGUGUUACAAGUGACCUUUUACGGAGCUCAGCAUUGAUUUAAAUAUGCUGAUGAAAUCACUUGGCUUGCAAGAUGUUUGAUAGAAAAAUGAAACCUUAAACUACCAACUGAGUUUGAACAGAUGAUGUUUUUCUGACUAACACACCAAUAUUCAUUAAACAGAAGUAUGUGUCCAAAGUUCAGAGACACAUUCUACUUGCUUAUUACAGAUCUAAACUUGAAUUUUCCUCUAGUCUUGUUCAGUU